ACUCACUGUGCUAGCAGCGGGGGCAGAUGUAAAAAAUAUAAGACAUAGUUUCUCCCUUCAGGGAAUUAUCACCCUACCUAAACCCCUAUUCCCUAGUCUUGGGGUCACUUUUGCAGACCUUUGCUGAUCCUCUUGCCCUGGGCUCUUUGAGCAGGGAAAAACCGCUGUGGGGACAACAACGGAGGCUGCACGCACCUGUGUCUGCCCAGUGGCCAGAACUACACCUGUGCCUGCCCCACUGGCUUCCGCAAGAUCAGCAGCCACACCUGUGCCCAGAGAUGGACAUCCGUCGAAUCAGCUUUGACACAGAGGACCUGUCUGAUGAUGUCAUCCCACUGGCUGAUGUGCGCAGUGCUGUGGCCCUUGACUGGGACUCCCGGGAUGACCACGUGUACUGGACAGAUGUCAGCACUGAUACCAUCAGCAGGGCCAAGUGGGAUGGAACAGGACAGGAGGUGGUAGUGGAUACCAGUUUGGAGAGCCCAGCUGGCCUGGCCAUUGAUUGGGUCACCAACAAACUGUACUGGACAGAUGCAGGUACAGACCGGAUUGAAGUAGCCAACACAGAUGGCAGCAUGAGAACAGUACUC
rnacentral:sRNA from 1 species